CUGCAACAAACAGCUUAUGUAGAAAAGUUUAAAUUGAAAACAACGCACGAAGCUGUAACUCAAAUUGUGAUUAUCAGUUAAGUAAUUGGAAUGUUCAGUCAGACCUCAUCAUUGGUCCUAGAUUUAUUAAUUGAGAUUUCUCUUCCCCAAGGUUCUGCUUCAGCUGAUUGUUUUCCUUCCUUCACUUCAUUCUGUUCUCCACUAAGGUCUUUUGCCUCUAAGUACUCCUUAGGUGGUUUAGUUGAUAUCAUAACCUUUCUUUUCAAGGAUUCUGGCGAGGGAAACUCUCUUAGACCGUCUGAUCCAGGUACGAACAGCAUAUCUCCAAAUGUUUCAUUAAUCAUCUAAGAUUUUUUAGACAUUGCAAAUGUUAGCAGUAGAGCAAUGAAAGUACUAGUUACUCUCUGUCCAAAGUGCAAUUUUACACACCUCAGCUACUUUAGCUUGAAGAUGCCGAGGAAGAUGGUCUUCAAGUGUGAUAACAACAGGAUACUCGGAUGCAGAGAAUGCAUGCUCUUUAAUAGACCUCAAGCAUUUGAUGAGUUGCACAGGAGUUGUCAGCGUCCUGUAUAAGAAAGUAGAUAUCUUGGCUAAUUACAACUUCAUUUCCAACUUGGAACCAAUUAAUGUCCGACUCAAAAAGAAUCCAUACACAAAUUGAGUUAAUUUCUUCGAUGAAGAUCAGUACCUUCCAUGCAGGACAUCAACAUCAUCUUUUGUGGAAUUAGGCCAUAUAUCCAAUUCGAUUACUCUCACACCAUUCUGGAGUGCAUUUAUUAUAGGGACAUCGCUGCAGUCACUACUUAGCUGAUUCCCAGUCAAAUAAGAAUUAUGCCCGGUAUAUAUAUAGUAAUGAGACAAUGGAUCAUGCAUAUCAUGAUGAACCUGUUUUGUUUGAAACAAAAAACCCACCUCAUAAUCAUUUAAAAAAAAAAUCAACUCUGAUGCUUAGAAAUUGAUAUAAAUGGAGAAGAAAUGGAAUUACCCCGCGACGAGGAUCAAUAGGAGGAUUAAUAUCUCCAAAAAGAUACUUGAAAAAUUGCUCAAGAUUAAGACCGCUGCGAUGGAAAAUGUUGAGGUGUUUAGGCUCAUGAAGGCUAUUUAUGAUGGCUCCAGCAUCCUCCACCGUGGCAUUCUCUUGCUUUUGAACUUCAACCAAGAAACGAUGGAGGUUAUCAACGCUUAUGGUCCCGUUUUCGGAGUAGCGGUCGAAUAUGGACUUGAUUUCAGCCGGGGCCUCUGCAGAAGCCAGCUUGAACCUUCGCCGGCAACAAAAGCAUACUCUGUAGGUCUGUUUAGACAUGCGAUUGGAUUUUGGAUUUACGUCAACUAAAAGUGAAAGAAGAGAAGAGGAGUAGAGUUGAUUAUGGAUGUUGAGGAUUGAGGAUCUUAGGUGUUUUUUUUUAUCAAGGAUGGGAUUUGAGGAUAGCUUUGCUUGUGAAGAUGGGAAGGCAUUUCCGGAGAUUGGACCGGGCAAAGUUCACUGUCGAACUCGGAACCAAAUCCAACCAACCGAACUUUUUCCUACAGGGAAAAAAAAAAAAAGAAAAGAAAAGAAAAAGAUAACGAUUCUGGUUUGGGAAACCUUUCAAUCGUUGGAUUUUGUUUGUGGAUAAAGGUCGGGUUCUGGUAAGGUUGCAAUAUCCUGCAAUUCUGGAACGUCCCCAACCUUUACGCUUUACUUCUUAUUGGUCCAGCUCUGGUGGUGAGCUGUGAGGUCAUUGUUGAUUGUUUCUCCUUUUUGUCUCCAUGCAUACAGCUGGUUGCCCCGCUGGGCCGGCCACCAUUGGAUCAAAGAAAAUUGUGUCUAAUUCAGUCAAUCAAUCAAUGAGGCCCUCCACCUCAUUAUCGAGUGGAGGAGUGUCACCAAUGAACAACCCCAAUUAAAUCCCAUUACUUGCAAAGAUAAUCACAUUUCAUUUCACGUAUUUUUUUGUCAUCUAAGGAGUAAUAAUUAAAGAGUAAAUUUCAUAUGCACUAUAAGUAUACACACUAUCACGAAUAAAUGGAUGACACGUAAUCAAAUUUUACACAUGUAUUAUAUAUUUAAUAGUGAUAGUGUAUAUAAGAUUAAUUCAUGAUUAAAUCCCAUUACUUACAAAGAAUAUCAUAUUCACGUACCCCUUUUGUCAUCUAAAGAGUAAUAAUUAAACAUUAAAGAGCCUUUUUUUGGGAUAAUUUCAGAAACCGUCCCUAAUAUUUUUGACAAUUUCACUAAGCACCUCUAAGGUUUAGAAAAAGAAACUUAUUCAUCUCUAAGAUGUUUUGCUUGCAGGGAAUUGUCUCUAAUUAGUUGUUGCAAGAUACGAUAUUUGCGCAGUGAAGAAAUCUUCUGACUAUUUUGGCCUUUCAAUUAUGUUUAAAUUGUCUGCUCACUUCUCCUCUUUUUUUUUUAACUUAAAAUGCAACAAAAAAUUAAACUGACAAUAAGAUGAUAGAUAGUUAAAUGAAAAAAAAAAGGGGACAAUUUUCAUUCUUUGACUCUUUGAAUUAGAUAUGAAGCAGGAUAAAUUUGUGCCUCAACAGGAUGAUAUAAAUUUGUGGCGAACUGGUUAUAAAGUUACAACUCACUGAAAUUCGCAGAGAAUCCGGUUCCCUGGCAUUGCCACCCCACCAAUCAGAGAGCAAUGCCCUUUGUGUUUCGCUGAUGUCUACAAGAAAAUGUUUACUUGAACCAUUUUUUUUUCAAAAAAAAAAAAAGAAGUUGUAUCUUGUUACUGCAAUUGCAGCACUCCUCUGUACAAACGAUCUGGUCGCGCAAAUCCAACUCUACUACAACAUUAAGGAUGGAAAAGAAGCGCGUCGCGGGCGGGCUUGAAGGAUGCAGUAGGGUUCAUAUAAACUGGAACCGCAUCAGAAGCCUUACAGAUCUAAGUUUCUCUCCUUUCUUAUCGUAAAUUGGAACUGCUCGGAUCCCCGGUCUCAACUCCGAAACAGGCAAGCAUGUCUGUCCCCCAAAAUCAUCCUUCUCCGACAUGUCAUGCUCACGGAUUUCAAUCCGAAGCAAAGCUAACUCAGGAACUGUCAAUGGGAAUGUGAAAUCCUCAUCCCAUAUCGGUCCCCAGUCAUCCUCUAUUAUCCUCGUCUUUUUCUUGGCCUCAUCUGCAGGCACUCCUACCAUCUGAACCUGCAGUUCAUGAGGAAAUUAUCUUAGGCUCAACCUAUUGAACAAGAUUUAAUAUGUUAAGGAGGAAACAAAACAGAAGAAAUAGAUGAACGCGUCAACAGAAGCAGCAGAUUGCAACAAUAUAUCAGUUCAGCCACUCAUUACAUGGGUAUAAGCUCGCCAGAAGUUCCAUUUUCGAACGUCUUAAAAGUUACCAUCGCAUCAAAACAGGAAAUAUCAUAUCAUAUCUAUCAGGAUAACACUUUUAAACCAAUUUUAGUCGCUGACCUUUGUGUAGAAGUCUGGCGGUGAAUAUGAAUCAAAAUGUGUGUGACUGAAAUCUAAUCGCCAUCCAUCUCCCAAAUACACGCUUACCUGUGGAAAAAAUGAUUAAGCUGUAAUUAAUAUAAGUCAUCGGGCGGUUGGAGUUUGCAAUAGCCACUGUCAGAAAGGUGCUCACCUUUAAAGUUUUCUUAACUGGCAAUUUUACUUUAGGAUCAAAUAGCUCAUUCCGCGGUCCCCUUUUCAUGAGAAAGUCAGGCUUCUUAACGUAACCGCAACCUCCAUUAGAUCCGAACAACCCAUGCAUCAACCAAAGUGAUUUUCCAUACCCCUGUUUGUUUGGGUUAAGAAAGAAAAUGAUUUCACUAAAUCCGUUGGUGAAAAGAAUCCUCAACUAAGAUGAAUACAUGCCGACACAAAUGUGGUAAUCAUAAUCAAAUUAUGAAAGUCGAUUGCUUGCUUGUGUACUGUUUCUGUGAUGCAUGUUACCAUUGAUGCAACAGAAGUCAUUGAUGGUUUAUCCCUCGCACAAACUGCUUGUCCAUGCUGACAUGUGAGCAUGGAGCAGUGUAUAGAUGCUGUAUUAGCAGAUUUGCAUGACAUUCUACUUGGAUCACUAUUUACGACAAAGACAAUAAGGAUUUCUGGAAAUGCCAGAGAAGUUAAUUCAAUAAAACUUUUAAUGUAAUUAAACUGCCGGGAAGUGUUAUGUUUAAGAUAAGGACAGUGAAUGAGUGCAUGACCAAGCUCGGAUUGCCAUUCCAGGAGUUUAGGAACACAAGAUUUGAAAACUGACCUGCAUAUUGAAUGCAAGCAUUUGAGCUCCAUGCGUCCAGCCAACUAAAGGGUGAAAAUUGGACGAGGUUACUCUUGUUCCCUUUGGAAACACCCUCAGAAUAUUCUUCUGUGUAAACCUAGAAUUCAAAACUGAAUUCAGCUAAAACAAAAUGUUGGUAGAAGACCAGAUGGGACAGCUAUUGUGAACGUCAAAAGCAAUCUAGCAAUCUUCAACUUUUACUUCAAGUGAAUACCUCACAACAUCAGUUCCAUAUAAAGAUGCAGCCCUUUCAAGGUCUUGUUCAGUCAAACUAAGACGCUUAACUUUGUCCAGCCCAGUUACUAAUGCGUGCCUCAACCCCUGUUUUGCCUUCCCAGCAUGAAUAGCAAUGAGACGCUUGUACUCCGGUGCUGCUAGUUGGGAUGAUUUUUGGUUUUGGAUGUCUCCAUCUUCAUCAUCUGGAUCACUAUCGUACUGAAAUCAUAAACCAAUAAACAUUGCAGAUGAAAUUUUGAGUAAUAUUCAACGGAUGACAAGAAAGAUUCUAUGAAAUGUACCUUUGGGUCGCCCUCCAACGUAUCCUUCAUAAAAAAAUCAUCUUCAGAAGAAUCCUUUUCCGCAGGUGAAGAAGUUCCUUCUUUCUGAUUCUUUAUUUCAAGGUACUCUUUUGGUGGUUUGGUUGAAAGAAUUAUUCGAUGCUUCAAUGCUUCCGGAGAGGGAAAUUCUUCUAAGCAUCCCGACUCCGGGUAAUACAGCAUUUCUCCAAAAAUUUGAAUUACCAUCUAGAAGCAGAUAGGUUAUAUCAGUUGCAAUGUUGAUGUUUUCUCAGUCUUAAAAAAAAAGGAAGAACAAAUAGCGAGAAACUCCAACCUCUGCAACUUUAGCCUGAAGGUCCGGAGUGAGGUGAUCCUCCAAAGUAAUUAUUACAGGGUAGGGAGAUUUGACAAAAGCAUGCUCCCUAAUAGACUUCAAGCAUUUAAUGAGUGGCACUGGAGUGGUCAGCGUCCUGAAAAUGAUCAACAAGGUUAAAUUUUCUUACAUUGCCAUUUCCGGUAAGAGAAAAUUUAGAAGUGUCCCUAAAAAUAGACGCAGCAAAAUUGAAAUGUGAAUAUAUAUCAGACAAAUAGUUUCUGGCACAGAUUUCUAAAUGUGGACAACUAGAGCAAAGCAAAUGAUAGAGAAACCCAUGCUGGUUAUUUUGGGAACACGAGAAGAUAUUUGCCUAUUUAUGCAAUUACAUUACAGAUUAGAAAAUUUAUUUUAUUUUUCUUGAAAAUUUGUCAGACAGCUUAUACUGAUGUAAAACUCAUCUCACCUUCAGUGUAGUUUUAACUGGUAAUUUGGCUUUAGGGUCAAAAAUCUCAUUACCAGUCUUCAAUAAGAUAUCUGGUUUUCUAACAUAUCCACAGCCACCAUUGGCCCUGAACAUUCCACGCAUCACCCAGAGUGAUCUUCCAUAACCCUGUUGAAGAAAAUUGUCACUGAAAAUUUCCUUGAAAUAGACUUUGGCCUAAUUACUAUAAAUUAAAAUGAAAGGUGCCAAUAAAUUUACAUUGUAAUAUGCCAACAUCGAAGAACAAUAUGACAAUCAAGAUAAAAUGAUAACCUGCAUGUUUAGUGCGACCAUCUGUGCCCCAUGCAUCCAUCCAAUGAGGGGAUUGUAAUUAGAUGAGUCAAAACGUAUUCCCUUUGGGUAUACUCUCAACAAGUUCCUCUGAGUAAAACUGAAAGAGGAAUAUAGAAAAGCCUGGACAGCUUAUUAAUUGGAAAUGAUUACUUAAUUCAAGCGCAAGGUCAAGAAUUGAAGCCUAAAGAGAGGUAUUAUGGAUUAUGUUGUCGAUUGGAGCAUCAAUGCAGCAAGAUUCAAGGAUGAAACAGUACAUUUUACAGGGCCUAGAUGAUCGAACUACAUACCAUGACUAUAAAACCCCAUUAAUGAAGGCAAAAUAAGCUGAAUACAUGUGUAUCUGAGUAUCCAGCAAGAACAAUUGUUCUAACUAUGACGAUCUAUAGUAAUCAGGAUGACAUCUCUCAGGAUUACUUUUAUACCAUUUACAAUGCAGGGAAACCCCUAGAGAAGUCAAGCAAAAGCUACUGCACGAAGUAUGCACUGGUUGUAUGUUGUAGACAAAGUAACAUGAUCAACAUAGUACCUUAUAAUUUCUUUUGCAUGAGUUACAGCAGCCUUCUCAAGUUCUAGCUCACUUAAACUAAGGCGUCUCACUUUGUUAGGAUCGAGCCUCAGCCAAUCAUCCAGUCCACCCUUUCCCUUUCCAGCAUGGAUUGCAAUCAAACGUUUAUAUUCUGGGACUGCAAUUUGCUGAGACUUGCGAUCUACUUCAUCAUCGUCAUCGUCCUCAUGAGCUUCCUCUUCAUUGAGAUCAUCCUGCAACAAACAGCUUAUGUAGAAAAGUUUAAAUUGAAAACAACGCACGAAGCUGUAACUCAAAUUGUGAUUAUCAGUUAAGUAAUUGGAAUGUUCAGUCAGACCUCAUCAUUGGUCCUAGAUUUAUUAAUUGAGAUUUCUCUUCCCCAAGGUUCUGCUUCAGCUGAUUGUUUUCCUUCCUUCACUUCAUUCUGUUCUCCACUAAGGUCUUUUGCCUCUAAGUACUCCUUAGGUGGUUUAGUUGAUAUCAUAACCUUUCUUUUCAAGGAUUCUGGCGAGGGAAACUCUCUUAGACCGUCUGAUCCAGGUACGAACAGCAUAUCUCCAAAUGUUUCAUUAAUCAUCUAAGAUUUUUUAGACAUUGCAAAUGUUAGCAGUAGAGCAAUGAAAGUACUAG
rnacentral:lncRNA from 1 species